rnacentral:rRNA from 1 species
GACGUAGGGCGCGAGCGUUGUCCGGAUUUAUUGGGCGUAAAGAGCUCGUAGGCGGUCUGUCGCGUCUGCUGUGAAAACCUGGGGCUUAACCCCGGGCCUGCAGUGGGUACGGGCAGACUAGAGUGCGGUAGGGGAGACUGGAAUUCCUGGUGUAGCGGUGAAAUGCGCAGAUAUCAGGAGGAACACCGGUGGCGAAGGCGGGUCUCUGGGCCGUAACUGACGCUGAGGAGCGAAAGCAUGGGGAGCGAACAGG